CCCUCCCCAGCGCCGGGGGAAUGGCUGCCUCCGGCGCGGCCUCGCUGCCCGUAUGCCAUUCAGCUCCUGUCUGCCUUUUUGUUUACACUGGGGACACAAUGGAAGCUCGGGUCCCUGCAAUACAUGAUUUAUAAGUGUAUUCUACCUCCGAGGGGACGGGCAGAGCCGGCUGUGGGUGAGUGAGCUCCGUGAAUAUUGCCAAGACACUGUGCUUUGUUCAGCACUAUUUUCCACAAUAGAUACCACACUUUGGAAGUAAUUUUAAAAAGGGAAUCAAAAUAGUGCUACUUUCAGCCUUUGUUUCUUUCAUACCACGCUGCGUUCUCUGCCUCAUUCAGCCGCUCGCAUUAUCCUGACAAAUUAAAUAAACCGCUCCAUCGCCGGAAGGCUCGGCCAGGCCGGGCUUCAGCCACCGCAGCCCCGGGAAGUCGGAACACUGAGGCAGCUGCUGCUAGCGGUCUCAGCGAACUUUGGUCAAGGAGCGAGGAAAGAAAAAUAUAUACGUAUAUCGGGGCGGGAUCCGGAAUCGGAGCCAGCCCGCGGCAGGUACUGGUCCGCGGCGGAGAGGGCUUGCGGCUCCCAGACGCGCCGAAGGUCCCUUCCUGCUGCGUGGGCCCUGGGAACGGGAACAGAGCAGAAUUUAUUCGUACGUUUGCCGAGCUGCUUCCCACUGACAGUGGCCCCUCGGGCACAGACGGGGAGGUUCUCCCCCCUUCUCUGUCCCCAUGCUCUGGCUCUGGCUCUGGCUCUCUCUGUGUCUCUUACGCGCUGCCAGGACUUCUAGAAGCCUGUGGUCUGCGCCGUCACGAAUGUUUGGAAGGCCGGCAAAGGAAGACCUGCGGCAGGAUUUCUGACGGUGCCGCCGUGUCUGGGGUCUUUCCGUCCGAAGACGCGCUAGAGACACGGAUGCAAGCUUUGGGAGACGUCCCUCUGACUUUUGGCCUGAAACCGUGUUUUACUUUUUCAGGGGAAAAAUAAACAAAAACCUUACUUAAAACGUGGGAAGGAAGCUUGUUCAAAUGGAGAAGGGGUUAUUUUUCCUUUGAAACGGAGUGUGCCCUGGUGUCGUCGUGGGCUUCGGAUGCUCAGGGAGGCGUGAAACGUGGGGUGGCUCUUUCUCUAAGGGUAGCCCGGGUUCGACCUGAAGAGCCCUCCCCCAGCAUCUCCGCUGGGACCCCAUGGUCAGCCACCACCCACUCAACAAAAUCAGUCGGACUCGGGGAAAGAGAGCCGUGAGCUCUGGCUGUCAGAGGCGCCGAUUUCCUUAUGAAAACAGACUCCAGUAAAUGCCAGUUCCAACGUGGGCUUUGAAGGCGUCCGCCCCCAGCCAGGAUGACCUCAUUUAAAAUGCACACUGUCUCAGGCAUGGAGUGGGGAACUCUGUUCCAACAGAGGCGUCCCCUGGCUUCGAAGUCAGAGGCCGCUGCAGGCAAAGAGAAAUAUUGAGCCAAAAGAGUUUGAACACAGCCAUCGGGGUUCAUCUUUUAUUACCAAAGAAAGACUUGAAAAAGCCCAGGUGAAAUUUCCUUCCAUUGUCUAGGAAAAUUCUCUGUAAUUUGCCCCCAGGGAAAUCCAAGUGCCUUGCGGCCGGGCCCCCCCCCCACCUCUGUUCUUCUCUCUUCCUUUCUCAGGGUAAAUGUCUCCAGGGUCCCUGGGGAACGGAGUGGGUGAGCGGGCCAUGCUGAAGGUCAGGGUUGCCCACUGUGGCCUGACUUUUAAGCUAAAGAGGUUUUUCUUUCUCUUGUUGCCAUGCCAGGUCUAAUUUGGUGGCAUUAUGCUAACGGGGCAGGCCUGCUCGUGACAGGAGGGGUUAAAUGAGAUUACAAGCUUUGCAGGCUGUCAGCGGCUCCCGCUGCCUGGACGUUAAAUGGGGAUUUAAUGGUCAGCUUUAUCUGUAGAGUAUCAGUGGAAAUCUGCUGUUUUCAGCAACUUAAUUGGCACUGUAUUUGCAGGAGUUUUUCG
rnacentral:lncRNA from 1 species